GCUGCGAUAGUUUGAUCGUACAAAGGUAGCAUAAUAAUUAGUUUUUUAAUUGGGAACUGGAAUGAAAGGUCGAACGAGAAAAAAACUGUCUCAAUUUAAAUUUAAUUAGAAUUUUAUUUUUAAGUAAAAAAGCUUAAAUAAAUUUAAAAGACGAGAAGACCCUAUAGAGUUUUAUAUUUAUGGGUUUAUUUUUUAGUUUUAGAAUUAGUGUUUAAAAUUAAUUUAUUAAAUAUUUAAUUGGGGUGAUUAAAAAAUUAAAUGAACUUUUUUUAUAAAUUUAACAUUAAUAAAUGAAUAAGUGAUCCAUAUUUAAUGAUUAAAAGAUUAAAUUACCUUAGGGAUAA
rnacentral:rRNA from 1 species